UUCGAUAACACAUCUUGUCAAAUUUUAAACAAUUUUUUAAUGGGAUUAGUUUAUUCAUUUGGUGUAAUUAAUUUUUCCAACUUGAUAUAGUGUAAGUUGUUUAAGUGAAUUUGUGGAUCUCUCAAUCUGUAAGCAUAAUCUCUUUUACGCUGAAGUUGCUUAUGCCACGCAAAAUAAACUCUGUUUUUGAAACUUUGAUAAAAAUAUUUUCUAAACAAUUUUUAAAUUGG
rnacentral:lncRNA from 1 species